ACGAGUGCAUCCUCCUCUCCGUCAUAGCUCUAGGCCAAGCAUCUCCUCUUCCUUGGUGCACUCCCAGCCACUCCCGGUCCAAACGUAGACGAGCAAAGCAACACGGGAGGUGGCCUGUUCGUGUCCUGCGAAGAGACAUCUCGGGACAGCUUCGCCGGUUCCCGUCCCGUGGCAAUGAGAUCCAACAUGGGCCUCGGACCGUCGUCUUAAUCGUCCUCGCGGUCACGGCCACACAAGCAGUGGACGCCCAGAGGUAGCUCAGUAUCGGUGACAACGUGAAUGCGGGGACUACUGCCAUGGACCUCUGCUCUCGCCGGGUGCUUCGGCCACUGCUACGUUAGCAUUGAAGAAGGCUGAGGUGAUGUCGAGACUCAUUUGCAUCAUUGACGAGCUAGCUUUUUUUUGUCUCUAUUGCCAGUUUCUGUAUACACCGUUUGUAAAAUGUAAAUUCAGAGAUGUACAAGCUACAUCUAUUUUAUUUC